UACGAAGGGUGCAAGCGUUACUCGGAAUUACUGGGCGUAAAGCGUGCGUAGGUGGUUCGUUAAGUCUGAUGUGAAAGCCCUGGGCUCAACCUGGGAAUUGCAUUGGAUACUGGCGGGCUAGAGUACGGUAGAGGGUGGCGGAAUUCCUGGUGUGGCAGUGAAAUGCGUAGAUAUCAGGAGGAACAUCCGUGGCGAAGGCGGCCACCUGGACCAGUACUGACACUGAGGCACGAAAGCGUGGGGAGCAAACAGG
rnacentral:rRNA from 1 species